UACGGAGGGGGCUAGCGUUGUUCGGAAUUACUGGGCGUAAAGCGCGCGUAGGCGGCUUUGUAAGUUAGAGGUGAAAGCCCGGAGCUCAACUCCGGAACUGCCUUUAAGACUGCAUCGCUAGAAUUGUGGAGAGGUAAGUGGAAUUCCGAGUGUAGAGGUGAAAUUCGUAGAUAUUCGGAAGAACACCAGUGGCGAAGGCGACACACUGGCUCACUACUGACGCUGGAGGCGCGAAAGCGUGGGGAGCAAACAGGG
rnacentral:rRNA from 1 species